UACGUAGGGGGCAAGCGUUGUCCGGAUUUAUUGGGCGUAAAGAGCGUGUAGGCGGCCGUACAGGUCAGCUGUGAAAACUCGAGGCUCAACCUCGAGACGUCGGUUGAAACCGUACGGCUAGAGUCCGGAAGAGGAGAGUGGAAUUCCCGGUGUAGCGGUGAAAUGCGCAGAUAUCGGGAAGAACACCCGUGGCGAAGGCGGCUCUCUGGGACGGUACUGACGCUGAGACGCGAAAAGCGUGGGGAGCGAACGAGG
rnacentral:rRNA from 1 species